UACGUAGGGUGCGAGCGUUGUCCGGAAUUACUGGGCGUAAAGAGCUCGUAGGUGGUUUGUCGCGUUGUUCGUGAAAUCUCACGGCUUAACUGUGAGCGUGCGGGCGAUACGGGCAGACUGGAGUACUGCAGGGGAGACUGGAAUUCCUGGUGUAGCGGUGGAAUGCGCAGAUAUCAGGAGGAACACCGGUGGCGAAGGCGGGUCUCUGGGCAGUAACUGACACUGAGGAGCGAAAGCGUGGGGAGCGAACAGG
rnacentral:rRNA from 1 species